UACGUAGGGUGCAAGCGUUAAUCGGAAUUACUGGGCGUAAAGCGUGCGCAGGCGGUAAUGUAAGACAGGGGUGAAAUCCCCGGGCUUAACCUGGGAACUGCAUUUGUGACUGCAUUGCUGGAGUGCGGCAGAGGGGGAUGGAAUUCCGCGUGUAGCAGUGAAAUGCGUAGAUAUGCGGAGGAACACCGAUGGCGAAGGCAAUCCCCUGGGCCUGCACUGACGCUCAUGCACGAAAGCGUGGGGAGCAAACAGG
rnacentral:rRNA from 1 species